rfam:Burkholderia gladioli BSR3 chromosome 2, complete sequence.
GGAAGCGGGUGCAAAUCCCGCGCGGUCGCGCCACUGUGACCGGAUCGCCGUCUCUCGACGGCCAGGCCGGAAGUCAGAC